CAUUGUCUGCAACUUGGACAGUGCAUGUCAUUCUAUGAAGAAAAGAGCAAGCUAACAUGGAAUUUGUUCUUCCCAGUGGUACUGUUUGGAGGUUCAGCUCUCUUUUUGCUACCUGUACUGCUAUCACCCAGGAUUAAAAGCUGUAGAUAUCCCAUGGCUGCAGCAAGGGCUUUCAGCGACUUGGAUGAAGACUGCAAAGAUACAUCAGAACAGCGUGGACAAUGACUUCUGGGAAGAUCAUGAAAAAAAUAAAGUAUGGCUAAUGGACCUGAGUUCCUCUCUCCUCCCUUUUGGCAGUCGUUCAUGGUAACACAAAGUCUCCCUGGUGUAUUUGAUUCUCCUCUCAGGUGAGCCCUUCAGCUCGGAGCCAUCCACAAGUGCAGAGUGCUUCGAAACAAGCCCACUGAGGCAUGCUAGCAAGACCCUGAGUCACAGACGGAGCAAACUUUCCUAGCUCAUCACCAUUCACUGGCCUCAAAUCCUCUUUGGAGUAGCUACCAGAGGGGCUGAACUUUGCUGUUUUCUGCUGUGCUGCCCGGGACCUUUUCCAUGUUAGCAAAGGCUGAUGGAAACCUGUGUCUAAGUGGUACCGUGUGAGAGCAAGAUACUCACCCUGUUCCCUCACAGCCUCUCCCUGCUUUCGUCCGUACCAGCAGCCCUGCAUGACCACGCGCCAGAUGUGCAGGCAGCUGCAAAGAGCUUCCCUCCCUGAGCGCAGGUGCUGUCUUUCAAGAAACAAAAUGGUGGACCUGGAAACCAGCUGGAGAUUGCAAAGUCUCCUUUCUGUUGAGGUUGCUGGUCAGUGGUCAUCUUCCACCACACUCAAAGAAACUGGAAGAGCUCCACACUAACUUCUGUAAGGUUUGUUUCACCAUGGAAGAUCAAAUGAUUUUCUGGCUCAGGUUUUGUGAAGUUCGGCAUCUGCCUUGGACCCACAAUUUGGAAAAGGGAUCAUCUCUGAGGCGCGGUUAAGAGACAGAAAAACCCCUCCCAGAUGAUGAGCACUCUAAGUAGUACUGGAAUAUUACUCAGCUUAACGACAGUGUCUGUUACGCUGGAUUUUAAUUUGCGUGGUGGUCUGAUGGCUUGGUCCUUAAGCAGCAAUUUGACUCUGAAUCAGAGUUUGCCUACGUCUGAUCCUCUUAAUGCCUCUGAAAAGGGUGAAGUCUCUCGGAUGUCCGUGAGGGAGAAGAACUGGCCGGCCCUCCUGAUCCUGGUUGUCAUCCUGCUGACCAUUGGGGGUAACAUAUUGGUAAUUAUGGCUGUAUCCUUGGAGAAGAAGUUGCAGAAUGCCACGAACUUCUUCCUGAUGUCCUUGGCGGUGGCAGACAUGCUGGUGGGUAUCCUGGUCAUGCCCGUGUCGCUCAUUACAGUCCUGUAUGAUUAUGCUUGGCCUUUGCCUAAACAGUUGUGCCCUAUAUGGAUUUCCCUAGAUGUGCUCUUUUCAACUGCAUCUAUUAUGCAUCUCUGUGCCAUCUCUCUUGAUCGGUAUGUAGCAAUACGCAAUCCCAUUGAGCACAGCCGCUUCAAUUCCCGCACCAAGGCUAUUAUGAAAAUUGCUGCAGUUUGGACCAUAUCCAUAGGGAUAUCUAUGCCCAUUCCGGUCAUUGGUUUGCAGGAUGACUCCAGAGUGUUCGUAAAUGGGACCUGUGUCCUCAAUGAUGAGAACUUCGUCCUCAUUGGAUCCUUCAUGGCGUUCUUCAUCCCUCUCAUCAUCAUGGUGAUCACGUAUUGCCUGACCGUCCAGGUGCUGCAGAGACAGGCAACAGUGUUCAUGUGUGGAGAGGUGCCCAAGCAGAGGAGGAGCAGCGUAAACUGCCUCAAGAAGGAAAACAACACAGAGAACAUUUCAAUGCUUCACAAUCAUGAGGGAGCAUCUCACUUGAACUCUCCUGUAAAUAAGGAGGCAGUGCUUUUUCGGAAAGGAACUAUGCAGUCCAUCAACAACGAGCGAAGAGCCUCCAAGGUCCUGGGCAUCGUCUUCUUUUUGUUCCUCAUCAUGUGGUGCCCAUUUUUCAUCACUAAUGUCAUGUCUGUCCUUUGCAAGGAAGCCUGUGAUAAAGACCUCUUGAGUGAACUCCUUGAUGUGUUUGUUUGGGUGGGGUAUGUUUGCUCUGGGAUUAAUCCCCUUGUAUACACACUCUUCAACAAAACAUACCGCAGGGCUUUUUCCAAUUACAUCCGUUGCCAAUACAAGACCAGUAAAAAAUCAGCGCUGCGGCAGAAUCAGUAUCUGAAUGUUGCUUCAACAGCUUUAUAUGGGAAAGAUCUGACUUUAACUAGUUAUCGAAAUGGCAAUGAACUCAAUAGCAUGGAACUAGAUGAAGUUGAGGAGGGCCUUGAAAUGCAACCAGGGACUUCAGAGCUCUCCAUAAACAGCUGUAAUGUUGAGGCUCCAGCUCCCCUAAGGAAGGUGGGGAAUGCAGUUCUGGUGUGGUUUUGCGAUCCUGGCUGGGAUCACUUGCACACUUGGAGAAGAAGCAUGAGAAACAAAGCGAACGCCACUUACCUGCUUCAACCAUUUUAUAAAUGGAGGGCCUCAGAUUUAUAACAAGCCCUCCUUUGGUCUUGUAGAUAAUCAUCAGCUCUGGGAUGGAGCAAGCUGUGCUCAGUGUGGAUGGCACUGCCUUCACAGAUUGCUUGGAUGAUCAGGGUCUUUGGUUGACCUGGAGAAGAGCUCUCUGGCUUUGUAAGGGCUCUUGUCUUCUCAGUCCUCACAUCUAUUUAUUCCUUAGCUUGUUUAGCAUUUGCUUUUGUUUUUCAGCAUCCUGGGACUUGCAGUGCUGGUGAUAAAACACUGCUUUGGGUGUAGAGCAGAAGCUGCUGUGUGUGUGACGCUGGUUGGGUCAGGCUGUGAGGUACAGGAUACACCUCCCUGGAGUAUGCUGGGAGAGAGGCAUAAACGAUCCCUGCUCAUUUCCCCUGCCUCAGGAGGAGGUGGGCAGAGCUGGGCAGAGCAUGCGACUGGAAUCAUUUGCUGGUGAUGUGGUUCAAAAGCAAACGAUGACCAGGGACAGGAAGGAAGCAGACCUCGAGCUAGUCUACAUGCAAUAUUAAUCUGGAUUAACUUUUAAAUUUUAUUUAUUCCAUUUCACUCCCAAAGUCAAUUAUAGUAUAUCAUAUUAACACCACUUACAUCUUAAUGAAAGCACCCACAUUGGGAUUUAAUACAGUUUAAGUAAUCUGCUUUUAAUUCACAGCAUGUAUAAUUUGAAUUAAUUUUCCUCUGUGUUCCUGUGUAGACAAACCCUCCAAGGCAUCGUGUCUUUCUGGCAGUGUGCCUCUGGGGUGAUGCCUCUCAUGCAAUUUUCCUUGUGUAGAGUAUUGCCAAAUGCCAGAUAUCACCCAUAAGGUUUUUACAUCUUCAUUAACUAAUGCACAAAUGCUGCAGUGCCCAUCUAACAUGGAUGCAUUUAGCAUCACUGACAGCCUCUGGCUAUGAAAAUCCUUAAAACUGAAAAGCUUACACUAGGCAUGGAUAAAUUGCAUUUUACUAACAUGAACUGCUUAUACUCUAAGCUUGCUGUGUUCAUCCCACCAAAAUUAACUUGUAGAAGAAAUGGAAAAUUCUGCUAGUGCUUUAGCGUAACAUUGUGCUGUUGCAUUGCCGUGUACAGCAACAGCCUCGCUGAGGCCACUACCGAAACACAACAUACAGGUUGCAUCUGCUUCUGUGUUGCACCUGGCUUGAUGUGUUGAAGUUGAUGGUCCUCUCUUCUCCCUCGUCCCCUCCUGGGAAAAACUCAUAGUACUUCCAUGCAGGCAGGCGAGGUAUCCCAGUGCAGAGUGUAGCUUACUGCUUGCAGAAGGCAGCAGAGAUGCACCAUGUGCCAGCCUGCUGAUAGCACCACGGGCUUGAAUGCUCAGGAAUCCACUUGCCUCUCCAAAAAGGUCUGGUAACCAGUAGGAAAAGGACUGGCCAGAGACACAAACUUGUGCCUUCAGUGACUGCCCUUUGCUCUGAGUCAAAUUUGUUUAUCUCAUCUCAAACAGUACAGAAAAAUCAGAAAGAUCACAUUGCUUUUUAAGUUCUUUUUUUUCUUGGGUGAAUUCAUAGCUCAUCUUUUCCAAACAUGUAUAUGUGUGUGUAUAUAUAUGUGUGAGUAUGUACAUAUAUAUACAUAUAUACAUAUUUAAAAGCCAACCACAGACUUUGAAAGCAUUUAGCAAUAAGUUGAAUUACAGUAGCUUCUAGCAUAUGUGUGAAUAGCUCAUUUUCCACAGCAUCCCCAAACUCCAUAUAAAUCCACACACAGGCAUUCUCUUCAUAUAGGAGCCUUCAUGUCUUAUCUUUGCUGGUUCUGUUGUAUGGGCAAAAAGGGAACCUACUAUAUUUGGAUGUAAAUAAUGGGAAUUGAACAGAGAAUUUACAGAAUUUUUAUAAAUGUUUUUAAAAAAUUCAGCACCAGAACUGUAAAUAUGUCAACUGUGGCUACUCAGCUGGACCCAUUCUGAUGUAUGUCACUUGUUUGGAUAAACAGACAAGGGGACUGCCUUACAGCGCCUGCGUUCUCUCCCGGCCAGCGGGUGAUCACAUUUUUGUGAAUGGUUAAAUACUGUCACUUACCCAACUUCCUUUGGGUCAUUCACAUCAGGGUUUUGUGAUGCUGCUAUUUAUUUAUUAAAGAAAGUUUGUUGGUUUAAUCACUCUUAAUUUUUUUUCAUGGUCUAUCAGAAAAUAAAUAAAUGAACGUGCCCUCUCUUUCUUUCAUCUGUCCCCAAUUAAAACCUUUCCUGAGUGAAAAACAUGUCCUGACCAAAAGAUAAAACAACAACAAAAAAUGAGGAUAAGGAUAACUUUCGUUUCUCCUCCCACACUUCAAGUAUGGCCUGUAGUUGCUUCAUCACAGAAAUUAGUGUCAGCAGAUACCCCAACACUUCCCACCCCAAAACUUGUUAAAUACGAAGACAGUGAUAAACUAUUCCCCCUCUUCUCCUUGCUCCCUCCAGGAAUAACUGUUAAAAAUGACUUUUUUAAAAUUACCUCGAUUUGAAGAAUGGAUUUAGUUCUCUGCAACUUAACCAAAGUCAGGUUGUCCCCACAGCAGCUUUGUUUCUCCUGAGCUGUAGCCAUCAACCACGGUAGUGCCUCAAGAAGCCCUGCCCUGGGGCUGCCUGAUGGGAGUACCCGCUGGACGUUUUGUGUAAGUCCUCAAACCUCAGCUCAGAUGGGAGAUGUGCAGGCAGGCUGCCUGCGAGACAAGCACGCGUGUAGAGGCUCCGACACAGCAGACAGACCACCCUGUUUGACUUGCAUCGGGGAGUCGACUUAUGGGGUCAGCCCCUGAACUAGCACCUUCCCGAGCUGUAGGGGCUUGCAGCCUUCCCCACCAGAGGCCAGAAGCAAGGCUGACCACGUUUGAUCAGGCACAAAGCCUUGUGGCUGAGGAACCUGGCUUCCAGACCUGAGCUGGCUCAUCUACAUCUGUGACAUAUUGCCCCACGCAGCCAAGUCUGGGGUGCGGCAUUCACGAAGUCAGCCACGGUGGCUUGGGGAUCUCUGAGGGCCUCAAAGGCUGUCCUUUGAGGACAAGGGCCUGCUCCUUCAGUCCUGUGCUCGCUGAAGAUAAGAGCAGGUACCCAGAGGCUGUGGCAUUUGGGAGGCAAUACAGUUCAUAGCCAAUGCUGAGGAGCCUCAAGACAUCCCACCUCACCAUGGCUCUCCUUGUUUUAAUGACUUACACUCACGUCAACCAUUAGUGCCUUUCUUCUGAACCGCCCUACAAAGAGCUUCAUCACUGGCAUGGAGCACAGCCAGUGCUCUUCCCUUCCAAGCCAGCAGGCUGACUGCAGUCAUCUGAUGUGCUGGAGCCAUGAGGGCCCUGGAUAUGGAGAGCCAAAUUCCAAAGGAAAAACAUAUUUUAAGGAAAAAAAGCAAACCACAAGCAGCUCUUCAAAAACAGCUUUGAGCUAAUGAAGGGUGUCUGAUAUUCUUGCAGACAAAUUAUGCUAAUCUGGCAUUCCAAAAGCAGCGUCCGUCAUGUGAUAAAGAUGCAGAUGUCUCUUGGAUGGGUUUCCUCCCUGGGUCACGGUAUCAUUAGGAUAGCUAUAUGACAAGCCAAGAACUGCAUGUGGCUUUGUCUCCAUUUCAGACUGGGGCAGAAAGGCAUCAGAAGCUUUUUCCUGGGAAAAAAGCAUACAAAGACCACCAAGCCUUGGGCAGGUGCAGCAAAAGAACAAAGAUAGACAGAUGUAUGCACACAUCUGCACACACGAACACACACAUCCCAGAGUCCCCAGAGAGCAACAGGAGAUGUCAUCAUGCUUCAGUCUUCCCUUGAAAAAAUGGGAAUAGCUGAACAGCUGGCGAGGAAACCUGUGAUGGGGAGAUAAAAUGCAGCUUCUCAGGUCUUCUGCUUGUUUGCUUUUACCCACACUGGAACUUGUGCUCUGAAGCUGUCAGAAGUUGACAAAAUACCUGUGAUGUGUCAUUCCCUCUCCACUGUGCAGGGAUGCUGCGAUCCCAUAACAACAUGGAGGUGGAGAGUCUUCAG